rnacentral:lncRNA from 1 species
AUGAUUCCUGAAAAACAAAGACAACAAUGUAUAUUUACAUUUAAAGGUCAAAUAGUUACUUACUUCUUAAAAAAACAUACACAAGCAGUGGGAUCCAAAGGUCAUGAGACCAUUAGUGAAAAUGUUGUUUUCUCUACCAUAAAGUCAGUUCUCUUUUCAGAGCUCAAACUACUGUUGGGGGGCAGACAGCAGUUAUUACCAAGCUUGAAGCGAGACAACACAUGGGCAAGACUGAUGAGCAUCAAUCUCUCUCUAUUUCACUGCCACAGUAGUGAGCUCAGGCUUCAAAUUAUGAGAAAAACAAAUGAACCGAAGACUAAAGAUUGCACAGAAAAUUUGAAGACAAAUGAUGCCUCUUGUUCACUCUUUGAGAAAUUCUUUCUAUUUCUUUGGCUGAGAAAGAAAGAUUCUGCUCAACAUUAGACAUUAGACCACAAGUUUAAGACAAUGUUACUCUACUAAGCUAAAUGGAAAAAUGACCCCAUCUUAUUGCACUUUAAAUGGAGUGAACUUCAUGUUCCUCACACAGUCUAUGAGGGUUUGGAGUAUCGAGGGCACUUACGGUACAAUAUCAUUUUACUAGCAAUAUGCUUUGAGUGCCUCUCCAGAUACAAACACCCUCCCUGCAUCAGUCCUCUUAUCACAGCUCUAUGUGCUGUUGAAAAAUGAAGACCUAAUACUAUAGCAGUGCUUCUAUAAAAACUCUUUGCAAACUGCACUAUAUGACUUACAUAUACUGUAGUUAAGCCAAGCUAGUCACAAUCAGCGACUUGUUUGUUUAAUAUUUACUUGAUUGUUUCUUAUUUUACUUUGUUUAAAUAUAGGUUUAUAAAUAAAGAAUAACAAAGUAAAAUGCUAAUUUUCCCUGCAACCCUACAUAGAAAAAGCAGUUUGGAGAAGAGAUAGAUGCUAAGUUUUAUUGAUUAUUUUAUUUAUGACAGUUAUGAGAGAGGUUAAAAGUUAACAUAAACAGCUACAAUAAAACCACCCACAAAUAGGAGUUUGUUUUGUCAGUUUGCUUUGAACUGUUUUGCAAAUAAAUAAAGAUACUUCAGAACAUAUUUUAUUUUGACAACCUUAUUGUGGGCAGUGUG